UGGAUUUUUUAUGCCCUGGAAAUUUAAUCAUUUUAACUCAUAUUACUAUUUUAGCCCUCCCAGACAUAUUUUCAGUGCCCGCUGCUCGUAGUAUCCAGACAACCAAUCACAAUGAUACGAUUUUUCCUUAAAUAUGCAUUAUAUCCAUGAUAUCUUCAUGAUAAUUGUAGUAUAUUUUGGUUUUAAAGCUGCGUAAUAUCUGUGGUAUCUUGAAGUCCUGCUAUAUAUAAAUUCUCGGGCGUGUAGAGUGUAGAAUAUAAAGUUCGCAUAAUCCCUAAACAACAACAAGAGAAAAGUUAAAUGUUGUUUGGAAGAAAAGGAGGAGAAAUGGCUAAGAAGAACGCUAUCAUCUUAUGCCUUUUCUUGGUUCUUUUCAUUUUCGUUGCAGGUGGCCAAGCGAGGAAACAUAUGCAUCAUCAUAAUAACAUUCAUCUUAACAAAAUGCAUCAGACUUGCAAAGAAACAUGGGAAACCGUAUGUGUGAUAGAGGAUGAUUGCAACUCAAAAUGUUUCCACGAUCAUGGCAAAAAAGCUAAAACUACAUGCCUUGUCCAAGAAGGACCCACAGGCGGUGAUUUGUGCGUCUGCAAAUAUGCUUGUUAGGAAAAUCACAUACAUCGCAGAUUAUUUUAUUAUUUUUUUAUGUUGUCCAAGGAAUAAGAAUGUUAUAAGAAAUAUUAAUAUUAUGUUGCUUCCAGAUGUUUCGUUUGUCACAAGGAUGAAGAUACCAGUGAUCACCGUUUGUGGCAUUGUGAAUUCAGCAAACUUAUCUGGAGUUGGUUGGACGUAUAUUUUUCUUUAAGAAUUGAUAUUUUGGUACUUAGCAAAUACAAAAGUCCUGUGAUUAAAGAACUCUGGAGAAUUGCUGCUUUUUAAAGCUUUAAUUGAGCUGUGGAUUUUGCGCAAUAAGGUUUUCCUUGAUGGUGCAGUUCUUGAUAUCAUCAGCUUUAAAAAGAAAAUCUUUCUUUUCACCCAUGACGAAUUAUGUUGAAUAAGCUUUAGUUUCUUUGGUUGAAUGUUACUUCAUUCUCCCUGAUCAAGAAUUGUGAUGGGGCAUCUUAAAGUAACCCUGGGAUGUCUGGUUAUGGAAUAGUGGUUAGGAAUCAUGUUGGUGCUUUCAUCUUUGCUGAAUCUGGUGGUUUGGGAUUAGCUUCGAAUCAUAUCGCUGAAGUGUUUGCUGUUAUUCGAGUCCUGGAAUGGGCUCUUGAAAACAAUCAUCUCAGAGUUAUACUUCAAACUGACUCAAAAGUUACUAUAGUUGCCUUUAUAAGCAAUCAUAUUCCCAGAAUUGUGUGGGCUAGAUGGAGAAGAAUUUGCAGGAUGCUCUUACAUAUCCAUUUCCAGCAUGUUUGCAGAGAACUACUCAGCAGUAAAGUUUCAGGGAAGUAAUCUGCAAAGGGGACAGGUCUUAAAGUUCCAUCCUAGACCUCUUAGAUUUAACUAGGACCGAAUCGCCUGAUCUGAUUUAUCUAGGAUUUGCUUGAUUGUCCUCUUCUUCUGUUUGAUUUUGGUUCUUCUCUGUUUUCCUUUUUCUUCUUUCUGUUGGUUUUAUGGGCUUAUGGUCAUGUUGACCACUUUUGGCCCGUUCUGUUUUUAAUUUUGCACUCAUCUGAAAAUUUUAACUCAUUGCUUAUCAUAAAGUUGACAUUCAUAAUAGUAGAUUCCACCCUGGGAACUCCGUUUCUCACUCAUUUUUCA